rnacentral:lncRNA from 10 species
CAGCAGUGCCCGAUAGAGUGGCACAUGUCUUGCCAUGUCCAGAACUAUAAGGAGAAGAAGAAAAAGCACAAAAUGAGCAAAUGUACAAUAUAAAAGUGAAACUCCGUCUCAAAAAAAUUACAGCUGACCCUUGAACAACACAGGCUACUCAACAUGAAGACUCUGAGUAUGAAGACUUUUAUGAUGAUCCACUUCCAUUUAAUGAACAGUAAAUAUAU